rnacentral:lncRNA from 1 species
UAAUAUUAUUGGACAAAUAAUAUUGAGAUUGUAAUCAAUCGUUUGUAAUGCAGUUGACAAAAGAUCGUUCGUAAUGCAGGUGAUAAAAGAUUUGAUCGUUUCUACUCCAGGUCCCGACUUCGCAAACGCAAAAAUCUCAUUUCGAAAACGCAAAAAUCUCAUUUCACUUUAUUCCAAGGUGUCUAAUUAUUUGAUAAUGCUAUUUGAAUAGUGUUAUUAGAAGAGGUGCCAUAUUCAAAUUCUCUUUUUAGCCUCUUUUUCCUGCCAAGUAGAAGCUUAAAAUUGGUUUUUCUGUUCACUACAAAAAAAUCACAAUAUAAAAAUGUUUUUUAGAUGACGCUUGGAAAAAGCGUCUCCAAGCAUUCCUACAAUAUAGCAAAUAUCAAUGCUUCAAAAAACAUCAUCAUAUGAACUCUCUUCUAUAUCAAACCAAUUUAUUAAAUGAUAAUGUUUAUUAUUAUUUUUAAUUUUUCGACACUUCAAAGUUUUAGAAUUUCAAAAAAUUUUGACAUUUUAAUGCGUCAGGAUAUAUUUUACCGACGGUUGGUAUAAAUGUCACUAUAAACGUGGCAACUCUUCAUUUGCUGACGCUUUGAUCGACGCUUUCAAAUAUGAUGCGCGCGAAAUUAUACUGGAAUGUUUUUAAGUAUCGUUAAAUAUUAAAAAAAGCGUUCUUAAAUAUUACUUUUUUGUAGUGGUUUAUGGGA